rnacentral:rRNA from 1 species
GUUUAACAAAAACAUGUCUUUAUGUUAUUUAUAUUAAGUCUGGCCUGCUCAAUGAUUAUUAUUAAAUAGCCGCAGUAUUUUGACUGUGCGAAGGUAGCAUAAUCAUUUGUCUUUUAAUUGAAGGCUUGUAUGAAUGGUUUGAUGAAGGAAUGGCUUUCUUUAUAUUAAAAAUUGAAUUUAAUUUUUAGGUUAAAAAGCUUAAAUUUUAAAAAGGGACGAGAAGACCCUAUAGAAUUUUAUAUCUAGGUAUAAUUAAGUAAGUUUUGGAGAUUAGUUAAAUUUUUAAUUUAACUAGAUAUUUUGUUGGGGCGACAGUGAGAUUUAUUUUUCUCUCAUAAUUUAUACAUUAUUAAUUUAUAUAUUUAAGAUCCUAUUUUAAGGAUAAUUAGAUUAAAUUACCUUAGGGAUAACAGCGUAAUUUUUUUGGAGAGUUCUUAUCGAUGAAAGAGUUUGCGACCUCGAUGUUGGAUUAAAAUUAGAUUUAAGUGCAGAAGCUUAAGUUUCUAGGUCUGUUCGACCUUUAAAAUUUUACAU